rnacentral:rRNA from 1 species
UACGUAGGGCGCAAGCGUUGUCCGGAAUUAUUGGGCGUAAAGAGCUCGUAGGCGGCCUGUUACGUCUGCUGUGAAAUCCCGGGGCUUAACCCCGGGCGUGCAGUGGAUACGGGCAGGCUGGAGGCAGGCAGGGGAGAACGGAAUUCCCGGUGUAGCGGUGAAAUUCGUAGAUAUUCGCAAGAACACCAGUGGCGAAGGCGGCUCACUGGCCCGAUACUGACGCUGAGGCACGAAAGCGUGGGGAGCAAACAGG